AGAGUUUGAUCAUGGCUCAGGACGAACGCUGGCGGCGUGCUCUAAUACAUGCAAGUAGAACGCUGAAGACUGGUGCUUGCACUAGUCAGAUGAGUUGCGAACGGGUGAGUAACGCGUAGGUAACCUACCUCAUAGCGGGGGAUAACUAUUGGAAACGAUAGCUAAUACCGCAUGACAAUUAAGUACUCAUGUACUAAAUUUAAAAGGAGCAAUUGCUUCACUAUGAGAUGGACCUGCGUUGUAUUAGCUAGUUGGUGAGGUAACGGCUCACCAAGGCCACGAUACAUAGCCGACCUGAGAGGGUGAUCGGCCACACUGGGACUGAGACACGGCCCAGACUCCUACGGGAGGCAGCAGUAGGGAAUCUUCGGCAAUGGGGGCAACCCUGACCGAGCAACGCCGCGUGAGUGAAGAAGGUUUUCGGAUCGUAAAGCUCUGUUGUUAGAGAAGAACGGUAAUGGGAGUGGAAAAUCCAUUACGUGACGGUAACUAACCAGAAAGGGACGGCUAACUACGUGCCAGCAGCCGCGGUAAUACGUAGGUCUCGAGCGUUGUCCGGAUUUAUUGGGCGUAAAGCGAGCGCAGGCGGUUAUUUAAGUCUGAAGUUAAAGGCCGUGGCCCAACCAUGGUUCGCUUUGGAAACUGGAUAACUUGAGUGCAGAAGGGGAGAGUGGAAUUCCAUGUGUAGCGGUGAAAUGCGUAGAUAUAUGGAGGAACACCGGUGGCGAAAGCGGCUCUCUGGUCUGUAACUGACGCUGAGGCUCGAAAGCGUGGGGAGCAAACAGGAUUAGAUACCCUGGUAGUCCACGCCGUAAACGAUGAGUGCUAGGUGUUAGGCCCUUUCCGGGGCUUAGUGCCGCAGCU
rnacentral:rRNA from 1 species